UUUCGCAAUGCCCGAAAGGGUGACGAAGCGACGCCGCGUGUGGGAAGAAGGCCUUCGGGUUGUAAACCACUGUCGGGAGUUAAGAAGUGUAGUGAUGUUAAUAGCAUCGCUACUUGACUAAGGCUCCGGAGGAAGCCACGGCUAACUCUGUGCCAGCAGCCGCGGUAAUACAGAGGCGGCAAGCGUUGUUCGGAAUUAUUGGGCGUAAAGAGCACGUAGGCGGCUAUGUAAGUCGGUUGUGAAAGCCUUCCGCUCAACGGGAGAACAGCAUCCGAUACUGCAUGGCUUGAGUGCGGGAGGGGAGAGUGGAACUUCUGGUGGAGCGGUGAAAUGCGUAGAUAUCAGAAGGAACGCCGGCGGCGAAAGCGGCUCUCUGGCCCAUAACUGACGCUGAGUGUGCAAAAGCUAGGGGAGCAAACGGGAUUAGAUACCCCGGUAGUCCUAGCCGUAAACGAUGGGCACUAAGUAGAGGGGUUUUA
rnacentral:rRNA from 1 species